GUUCUACGUAAAACUGCGAGCUACUUGUGCAAACGUCACAAACGUGCGACCGUGUCAUCGAUUUCCGCCUUUGGUCAUAAACACGCGACGUGCGUUCUGCAACAUGACGGAUAGUGGAGUGAAGCACGCGCUGGAGCUGGUGCAGGCAGAAGGUGCUGAUGAGGGUUGUGUGACAUUUGUUCUCCAUGAAGAGGAUCACACACUGGGCAACUCACUGCGUUAUAUGAUCAUGAAGAGCCAGGAUGUGGAGUUUUGUGGAUACAGCAUCACACACCCAUCAGAAAGCAAAAUUAACUUCCGGGUACAGACGCGAGGAGGACUUCCUGCAUCUGAACCUCUGCGCUGUGGCUUAAACAACCUUACUGAAGUUUGUAAACAUGUCCUGUACACAUUUGAGAAUGGACAUCAUAUUACUUCAUUACGUACACCAUUUCACCGAACUUUAGUCAGUCAUCUGCAUCUGAACGGAGUCAUGAACGAAAUUAUAUGAUUUGUGAACGAGGAUCUGAUGACCGACUGAACCAGAAGAGGCAUUUGCCAGUCACUCAGUAGCACGCACAGAUGAAUGCUUUUAAGAAUGGAGAGGCAUCGAUGGAGUAAAGCUGGCAUCAACACUCAAUACACUAGUCUGAUGAUCUCGACUGGAUUAGAAUUAACAAGGAUAUUAACUUUAUAUUGAUUAUUUGUAAGUCUUUGUUGUAAAACAACACACAACAAUCAGUCCUGUUUCUCACAGUUAUUCUUGUUUUUGUAGAAAAAAAAUCUUGGUACAGUAUAUUCAUCUCUGCAAGUGAUCCAUCACCCUUAGGCAUUUUUUUAAAUUAAGUUUAAACAUACAGAAUAUGCUAAACCAUAAAAUAAAUUAAAAUAAUUGUUA